CAGCUCUUGUUUAGAUAGGCGAUAUAUGACUUCUUUGUGUUGAUUCGCUGUAAAACCCAACUCAUUCACUUUCCAUAUAAAAUCUAUAGUGACUGUAAAGAUUCUGCGUUGUUGUCUGUCCUUGUCCAAUAACAGUGUGUGUGACCAUGAGACGUCAUCAGGUGUUGUUGUUUGUUAUGUUAUUGUCUACGUUUAAUGCAAAUUGUCUAGGUUUGAUGCAAAUUUUAUUGGGAAAGUCUGUAUUUGAACAAAUAUUAAGAACAAACAAAGGAGCAUUUCACUACUUGCUACCAUUGCAGCCGGACACAGAAUUCGUAUUAGCUUUGGUAAAUUCAAGAAUAUACUUCUAAUAAAUUUCUUUAAAUUUAUAUUUUACUUAGGAUAAAUGGUGUGUCUUAAAAUAUUUUAGGAUUAUCUCCUAGCAACAGAAAUUAUAUCUGUCUUCAAUAUCUUUUUAAAGCAAUACAUGGUUUUACAGAUAUCCUAAAGCCAGACGGAUUGUUCACUUAGUAAUCAACCAUGAAACUGAUAUUAUAUUGUGCUGUUAUAUUCUUAGCAUGUGCUUUCACCUGUCUCACAGGACCUGAGAGUGUUGCAAAUGCCAAGCCCAUUCCUGGAUGUGCUUCAAACACAGAGUGUCCACAAGGAAGAAGAAUUUCUAGGUAAGUACCAACAUGUGCAUUCUCUUUGAUGAAUCUGAUUUUGUUGCUUGUUACAAGCCUUGUUGCCAGACUUCUAAAGUCUGUUCAC
rnacentral:lncRNA from 1 species